GCCAUGACUAUUGGCUCUACCUUCUUUUCCAGCCUCUGCUUCUAGAACUUCAUUCAGUGCGUGGCAUUUUUUUUUUUUUUUUUUUUUUUUUACAAUAUUUUGGACUAGGGACAAAGGUACAAAUCUUGUGACUGCAAUAGAGUCAACCUUAAGUAGAUCCUGAUAAAAUAACAAUAGUUCCCCAGUAUCUUUGGAUUGGUCCUCCAAAGCCAAAUACAAAUCUUAGGAUAACAAGCCCCUUUUAGACAGUGGUGUAUAUUUACAUGUAAACUAUACAUGUCUCAUUUCUAAAUCAUCUUAAGAUCAUGGUGGUGGCUGGGAUUAAAGGCAUGCACCACCACUGCCUGGCCUUUUACUCCAUUUUGUGUAGGCUGGUAACACCCCACCCCUUCCUCCCUUUUAGACAGCAGCUCAUUUAGCUCAGACUGGCCUUGAACUUGAUAUAUAGCCAUAGCUGCCCUUGCUUCCCUGUGCCUCCUACCUCCACCUGAGUGUUGAUAUGAUAGGUAUGGAUCACAGCACUCCCUGAAACCACUUGUAAAUAUUUUUGAUACCCCUGUAAUCAUUUGUAAAUAUUUAUGUUAUACACCUAAGCUCAGCUGGGAACUAACUGCCUGCUGCUUCCUUUCUGGUCUUAUGUUUCUGUCUCUUGUAAACUGAUUUCCUGUCAUUUGAAUCGAGGAACCAAGAUAAUCUGAAGUAUUAAUGGAGUGUUAAGCUUAUAAAAUGUGCGGUGGGUUUUUGACCGAGCCCUCUCGUUUGAUUUUCUUUGUGUUGGUUUAGGAGCUCUUUGUUCAGUACCUAGCCACCUGUUCCUACAGACACGGAAGUGGCAAAGCCAAGAAAGCACUGACGUACAGCGACUUAGCCAGCACUGCAGAGGACUCGGAGACACUUCAGUUUCUCGCAGGUACUUAACCUUUGGGGCAUUCUGUU
rnacentral:lncRNA from 1 species